rnacentral:rRNA from 1 species
CCCUUAGAUGUUCUGGGCCGCACGCGCGCUACACUGAUGUAUUCAACGAGUUUCUUCCUGGUCCGAGAGGAAUGGGUAACCUUUUGAAAGUGCAUCGUGAUAGGGAUAGACUAUUGCAAUUAUUGGUCUUCAACGAGGAAUUCCUAGUAGACGUAGUUCAUCAGACUGCAUCGAUUACGUCCCUGCCCUUUGUACACACCGCCCGUCGCUCCUACCGAUUGAAUGCUCAGGUGAGCCAUUCGGACUUUCAUCAUGCUGGUUUCCAGUUUUGAUGAAGGAAAGUCUUGCGAACCUUACCAUUUAGAGGAAGGAGAAGUCGUAACA